GAUGAACGCUGGCGGCGUGCCUAAUACAUGCAAGUCGAGCGAACAGACGAGGAGCUUGCUCCUCUGACGUUAGCGGCGGACGGGUGAGUAACACGUGGAUAACCUACCUAUAAGACUGGGAUAACUUCGGGAAACCGGAGCUAAUACCGGAUAAUAUAUUGAACCGCAUGGUUCACUAGUGAAAGACGGUUUUGCUGUCGCUUAUAGAUGGAUCGGCGCAGGAUUAGCUAGUUGGUAGGGUAACGGCUUACCAAGGCGACGACCGGUAGCCGACCUGAGAGGAUGAUCAGCCACACUGGGAGUGAGACACGGCCCAGAAUCCUGCGGGAGGCAGCAGGGGGGAAUAUUGGAAAAUGGGCGAAAGCAUGAUCCAGCAAUGCCGCGUGAGUGAUGAAGGCCUUAGGGUUGUAAAGCUCUUUUACACGGGAUGAUAAUGACAGUACCGGGAGAAUAAGCUCCGGCUAACUCCGUG
rnacentral:rRNA from 1 species